UACGGAGGGUGCAAGCGUUAUCCGGAUUUACUGGGUUUAAAGGGUGUGUAGGCGGACAUUUAAGUCAGGGGUGAAAUCCCGAGGCUCAACCUCGGAACUGCCUUUGAUACUAUUUGUCUUGAAUGUUGUUGAGGUGGGCGGAACGGGUCAUGUAGCGGUGAAAUGCAUAGAUAUGACCCGGAACACCGAUUGCGAAGGCAGCCCGCUAAGCAACUAUUGACGCUGAGGCACGAAAGCGUGGAGAUCAAACAGG
rnacentral:rRNA from 1 species